CGGCGCCCCAAGUGGCAAUCGUUAUUAUUGGGCCUAAAGCAUCCGUAGCCGGAUGGAUAAAUUCUCUGUGAAAUCUCUCAGCUUAACUGAGAGGCGUGCAGGGAACACUGUUUAUCUAGAGACCGGGAGGAGUUAGAGGUAUUCUGAGGGGAGCGGUAAAAUGUUAUAAUCCUCGGAGGACCACCAAUGGCGAAGGCAUCUAACUAGAACGGAUCUGACGGUGAGGGAUGAAGGCCAGGGGAGCAAAACGGAUUAGAUACCCGGGUAGUCC
rnacentral:rRNA from 1 species